rnacentral:rRNA from 1 species
AGUGAACGCUGGCGGUAGGCCUAACACAUGCAAGUCGAACGGCAGCCCAGUAAGAGCUUGCUCUUACGGGUGGCGAGUGGCGGACGGGUCAGGUAUACAUCGGAAUUUACUUUUUCGUGGGGUAUAACGUAGGGAAACUUACGCUAAUACCGCAUACGACCUACGGGUGAAACCAGGGGGUCUUCGGACCUUGCGCGGUUGAAUGAGCCGAUGUCGGAUUAGCUAGUUGGCGGGGUAAAGGCCCACCAAGGCGACGAUCCGUAGCUGGUCUGAGAGGAUGAACAGCCACACUGGAACUGAGACACGGUCCAGACUCCUACGGGAGGCAGCAGUGGGGAAUAUUGGACAAUGGGCGCAAGCCUGAUCCAGCCAUACCGCGUGGGGGAAGAAGGCCUUCGGGUUGUAAAGCCCUUUUGUUGGGAAAGAAAAGCAGCAGGUUAAUACCCCGCUGUUAUGACGGUACCCAAAGAAUAAGCACCGGCUAACUUCGUG